UUUUCUUCUUUAAAAAUUCAAGCAAGUUAAUAGUUAUUAUAAAGUUAUUUAUUGCAGAAGCACAUCAGUCUCAAAGGCAAAAACAAAUCAAAGCAAUGGC